rnacentral:lncRNA from 1 species
AGAGCCCACAACUGCUGACUGUUUUUUUUCUGUGUCCUUCGUUAGGCACACACAGCCCGGAAGUGCAGGCGGUUGUGAGUUGCCUGAUGUGGGGGUCUGGAAACCAAGCUCAUGUCUUCUGCAAGAGCAGCAACUCCUUUUAACUGCUGCCGAGCCCGUCUCUCCAGCUUCUGUGCAGUUCGUUUUGGUUGUCCAUUUGAUGGACCUGGAGAUUCCCCAGCGGCUGGGAGCGUGGAUGAAAGAAAAAGGAAGCCCAAUGUGGCAGGCAUUCCCUCUCUGCUGCCUGGCUGCUCUGUCCCCUCACAUCCACCUCCUGCCCUGUCACCCCAGACCUGCAGCGAUGGGACAGUUGAUCGUGGAAGGAAUCGGUGAGCCCAAGCAGAUCUUCCCUCCUUCAAACCUUUUCAGGGUACCCUCAUCACUUACCAGUUUCUCUGUGCCCUGUGGGAACAGGAGAAGUUGGAAGUGCAGCC